AGCCUGCGAAGGCAAGCGGAUCUCUUAAAGACUGUUCUCAGUUCGGACUGCAGUCUGCAACUCGACUGCACGAAGCUGGAAUCGCUAGUAAUCGCGGAUCAGCACGCCGCGGUGAAUACGUUCCCGGGCCUUGUACACACCGCCCGUCACACCAUGGGAGUCGGAAAUGCCCGAAGUCUGUGACUCAACCGGAAGGAAGGAGCAGCCGAAGGCAGGUCUGAUGACUGGGGUGAAGUCGUAACAAGGUACC
rnacentral:rRNA from 1 species